UACGAAGGGGGCUAGCGUUGUUCGGAAUCACUGGGCGUAAAGGGUGCGUAGGCGGGUCUUUUAAGUCAGGGGUGAAAUCCUGGAGCUCAACUCCAGAACUGCCUUUGAUACUGGACGAUCUCGAGUUCGGGAGAGGUGAGUGGAACUGCGAGUGUAGAGGUGAAAUUCGUAGAUAUUCGCAAGAACACCAGUGGCGAAGGCGGACUCACUGGCC
rnacentral:rRNA from 1 species